UUAGAAUAAAGACAGCAAGUUCAGUUUCCUGCGUGUGGAGUCUGAGCCGCCUGUGGGACAUCCGAGUUAGAGUGUCUGAAAGUUAGCAGGACACACACAGCUCCGGACUCAGAGCAGGAUCUGUGCCCGAGCUACAGAUCUGAAGCCUACAGGAGUGGAUGCGGUCCCUGUCCUUGAGCGCUCACUGUCCAGUCAGCAAGAGACACGCAUCGCUGCAUCAUUUCAGUGCAAUACGACACCAAGGCAUGACCCAAAGGCACCCAGUGAGACUCAAGCCCAGGACGGGGCCAGGACUUGGUUUCAUCACCAGGACCGCUGGGUGAGGAUCAUGUAAGCACAGCUGGAAGGGGGGACCAAGGACAGCAGACAGAGAGCCAGCGUGGCCCUGGUGACAUCACUGGAGCUUUGCCAAGUGAGCUCUGCCCUAGCCCUGGCUUGCAGAGCAGCAAGUCCCCUCAUCUUCUGGUGACUGUCUUUUCAGAGAGCCAGUCUGGGACACGGCCACACCAGACGGAAACCAAAAGGCAUAAUAGUAAUAGCAUCAUAGGUCAUGUACACAUACACACUUUGUUAUUGUAAUGUAAAAAUAUGAAAAUAGAUGUCUAUUUGAAGUUAUAUAUUUGUCUCUGUUGUUUACUUUUCUGGUUCAUAAAUGCUGCUAUUUAAACAAACUGACAAUAGGACUAGUUAAAAGAAGCAAUUAGUACUAAUUAAUAGUACGGCCAAUGAAACAAAUAUGAAAAACCCCACUAUUUUUAUAAUGUCUC